rnacentral:misc_RNA from 1 species
UCCCUAUUACUAGAGCAGUCUGAAUAGAAAAAUACAACUAUUCACAAGGGUUGCGCUCGUUGAUGGACUUAACCAAACAUCUCACGACACGAGCUGACGACGGCCAUGCAUCACCUGUCACAGGGUUCCAAAAGGCACACUCUGCUUUCGCAGUGCUUCCCUGGAUGUCAAGCCCUGGUAAGGUUCUUCGUUUAUCAUCGAAUUAAAGAACACGAUCCACCGCUUGUGCUGAUCCCCGUCAAUUCCUUUAUGUUUUAAUCUUGCGACCGUACUCCCCAGGCGGGAUGCUUAAUGCGUUAGCUGCGCCACUGACAGGUAAACCUGACAACGGCUAGCAUCCAUCGUUUACGGCGUGGACUAC